AGAGUUUGAUCAUGGCUCAGGAUGAAUGUUGGCGAUGUGCCUUAGGUAUGCAAGUCGAGCGGUCCGCCUUUGGCGGACAGCGGCGAACGGGUGAGUAAUGCAUAGAUAACCUUCCUCGAAAUCAGGAAUAGCUUUGCGAAAGCGGAGGUAAUACCUGAUAGUCCAUAUUGUAUAAUUUACUUUAUGGUAAAGCUCCGGCGUUUCGAGAUGGGUCUAUGUCCUAUCAGCUUGUUGGUGAGGUAAAAGCCCACCAAGGCUAAGACGGGUAGCUGGCGUGAGAGCGCGGCCAGCCACAAUGGAACUGCGACACGGUCCAUACUCCUACGGGAGGCAGCAAUUAGGAAUCUUGCGCAAUGGGGGCAACCCUGACGCAGCGACAUCGCGUGGAGGAAGAAGGUCUUCGGAUUGUAAACUCCUUUUAUGUGGGAAGAAUGAAUGACGGUACCACAAGAAUAAGCACCUGCUAACUACGUGCCAGAAGCAUCGGUGAUGCGUAGGGUGCGAACAUUAUCCGGAGUGAUUGGGUGUAAAGAGAUGCGUAGGCAUUUUGAUAAGUCCAAUGUCAAAGCCCUCUGCUUAACGGAGGAAAGGCAAUGGAUACUAUCAGAAUAGAGUCAGAAAGGGGUGAGCGGAAUUUCCGGUGGAGCAGUGAAAUGCGUUGAUAUCGGGAGGAACACCAGAGGCGAAGGCGGCUCACUGGUUCUGUACUGACGCUAAGGCUCGAAAGCGUGGGGAGCAAAACGGAUUAGAUACCCGUGUAGUCCACGCUGUAAACAAUGUCCGCUAGGUGUUUGGUAUGACCUAAUUUUUUCUUCGGAAUCAAGUAGGAAGUCCUAAGUGCCAAAGCUAACGCGUUAAGCGGACCACCUGGGGAGUACGAUCGCAAGAUUAAAACCCAAAAUUGAAUUGGCGGGGACCCGCACAAGCGGAGGAGCGCGUGGUUUAAUUCGAUGGUAAUCGAAGAACCUUACCAGGGCUUGAAAUUCUACUGUGCUCUCCCAGAAACGGGAGAGGUCUUUGAGAAUGUAGAACAGGUGCUGCAUGGCCGUCGUCAGCUCGUGUCGUGAGAUGUAGGGUUAAGUCCCGAAACGAGCGCAACCCCUAUCCCAUGUUAUAAGUGUCUUGGGAAACUGCCUCGGUAAAACGAGGAGGAAGGUGGGGAUGACGUCUGGUCCGCAUGGCCCUUAUGUCCUGGGCUACACACGCGCUACAAUGGCCGGUACAACGGGCAGCCAAGUCGUAAGACGGAGCUAAUCCUAAUAAAGCCGGUCUCAGUUCAGAUUGAGGUCUGCAAUUCGACCUCAUGAAGUUGGAUUCGCUAGUAAUCGUAGAUCAGCCAUGCUACGGUGAAUACGUUCUCGGGUCUUGCACACACCGCCCGUCAAGGCAUGGAAGCAGGUAGUACCCGAAGGCAUUUACUCUUCGGAGUGGGUGACUAAGGUAAGAUCUGUGACUGGGCCUAAGUCGUAACAAGG
rnacentral:rRNA from 1 species